UUGGAGGGCAAGUCUGGUGCCAGCAGCCGCGGUAAUUCCAGCUCCAAUAGCGUAUAUUAAAGUUGUUGCAGUUAAAAAGCUCGUAGUUGAAUUUCGGGAUUAGUACGUCGGUCGUGCCUUAGGUACGUACUGGUGUUACUGGUUCCUACCUUCUGACGAACCAUCAUGUCAUUAAUUUGGUGUGGUGGGGAAUCAGGACUGUUACUUUGAAAAAAUUAGAGUGUUUAAAGCAGGCUCGCGCUUGAAUACAUUAGCAUGGAAUAAUGGAAUAGGACG
rnacentral:rRNA from 1 species